UGCAUUUUAGACAUGAUAUUGCCAGGUAUGCCUGGCAGCCCUUGCACUUGCUAUCCUCUUGCCUCCGCCAUUUGAGUGCUGGAAAAACAGGCAGGAGCCCCCGCAUCUGGCUGCUGUGCCCGGCUUGUUGAUGGAGGAGUGUUCUUAGCGAUCCAGUUGGGCUUGAAGCUGCCCGAUUCUCUGAGGAACUCAAGUUACAAACUUGCUUCACAGCUCUGCAUAGCACUUCGUUGUUUUUCUUUUUUAUCGCGGGUGGAAACAACCUUGAAAAUGGCAGAGUCACAAAGAGAAAAGCGCACCUGGGCCAUUAGACCUUGGGCAGCUUUGUGUCUCAGACUUCUCAGGAUGGCUUCUGAAGUCUGAAAGAUCUGGAUUCUGGACUAGCACAGUUUAAAGCCAGGCGUCGUGUCUUAGAGGAGACACAGCAUCACCAUCCGGACUUCAUCCUUCUUCAGAAGAAUUGAUACUUAAGACACGGUUUCUAAAUAAUGCUUGUAAUGCACGUUAUUUUAUUUUAUUCUAUUUUAUUUUUCGGCCAGGAGGAAUUCUACAAUUUUUAAUUUUAGGUUUCAAGCUGUUUUGUGGAAGCCAGUGUGUGCUUCUGUCCGGUUUGCGGACACCUCGGCUGGUGUUUGCAGCUCUCGGGAUCAUAUUCGCCGCUCUUACUUUCUAAGUGAGGAAGCAAAAGCUGGAACAGAGCGGUGUGAACAGCAAAACUAUCGAUCAGGCCUAGCAUUGCCAACACUAGUGAGCAUCAGAUUAUUAGAGGGGAUCAAGACAGACAGGCGGCCGGAAGCCACCUUCUUAAAUACUAAAGCCUAGACUGCCAGCAGCCAAGAGCUCGGGGAAACAUCUUCAAAGCCAGAAGACCCGCACACAUUUUUGAAAGGUUGCCUGCGGUUUCCUGUAAACAACUGUAUGUUAAAUGGCUCCACAAAGGAAGGCCUUAUUAAGAAUAAACGAUUUGAAGAAGGACGAUGUGGGCGGCGACAUAAUCACAAUUUUUCUAGAGGGCUUGAUUUGUCAAUGUGUUGGUUAAUUUUGCAACCACAUUCAACUGAAACUUCGUGUGUGGGCUUCCUACCACAGCGUCUCUUCCUUGAGGCUGCCUGAGAGUAGGGAGAUACCCCAACCCAGCAACAAGACCUGUGUUUGCAGCGUGGCCUUAUUGGGUUGAGCCCUGCUGCUGCCCCCUCCCACUCCCCCCCCCCCGUGGGUGCGUGUGAGGAUUAAAACUAUUAUUCGUAUUUGAAUAUUAA